GCGGACUGGCGGAGGUCGCGAUCGCCGUCUGACGGCGACAGGUCAUCGAGGGCCGCACCCCCGGGUUGGACGCCUGGGGUGCGGCCC
rnacentral:tRNA from 1 species